rnacentral:rRNA from 1 species
UACCAGCACCCCGAGUGGUCGGGACGUUUAUUGGGCCUAAAGCAUCCGUAGCCGGUUCUACAAGUCUUCCGUUAAAUCCACCUGCUUAACAGAUGGGCUGCGGAAGAUACUAUGGAGCUAGGAGGCGGGGAGAGGCAAGCGGUACUCGAUGGGGUAGGGGUAAAAUCCGUUGAUCCAUUGAAGACCACCAGUGGCGAAGGCGGCUUGCCAGAACGCGCUCGACGGUGAGGGAUGAAAGCUGGGGGAGCAAACCGGG